UUCCUGGUGAGAAUCCAUGCUGGUUUAGAACUUCAAAAGCAAGUACUUUGCAACGGUGUUCAAAGCACCAUUAUUUCUCUUUUCGUUCAUUCAUUCUAGUAUUAGCGUUGACUUUUAACCAAGCUGUAGAAGAGGUUAAGAAUUAUAACACUUACUGCAGUCUUGACAAGCUCAUCGGCAUAUGAGCUGGCACGCACGGUUAGUCCAGAGGGAGCAACCAGGUGGCACCUCACGACAGAAACCGAAGGUUGGCGAAGGGUCUGACCCCUAACCCACUCGGACUUGUCUACCACAGGUGAAGUCUUGAGGAGAGAUGCAGAGGCCAUUUUUCUGUUUUCAAUACGUUUCUCUUAUCUCUCCCCCUCAAGCUUUUUCAACACGAACUUUUUGGCUCUAAUUCUUCAAUUUAUAGUUCCCAGUCCUUACCAAGAGAUAUCUUGUUUGAGGCUGCAAUGCAUAGGCCAAUCAUCAACUGACAUGAGGGAUGCUUGCUUGGCAAGUUGGUAUUGGCAUAGGUGUGGCUGAUAUGAGGUGGGGGAGCUUAAGUAUAUACCUGUGGAAAUCUUUGUCUUGAAAUAAAAGGUUGAAUUUUCAGAAAUUUGUAAAACCAGAAAAGCUUGAUCUUUUUGGAGCUGAUUGAUCUCUUUUUGUUGUUUUUCUUUUCUUUUGACCUUGCUAGCUGGGGAGGAAAAUCACCCAAAAGGCAGGAUGCAGACAGCUAUUUGACUAUUUGAAGGGCUGGCAACAAUUUAGGAACAGGGUUUUUUUUUUUUUUUUGGUCCUUCUAAAAAAAGUUGAGGCUAUGAAGGAAUUUGUUUCUCUGCUCAAAACCAAUUUGAUGCAUUCAUUAGCUUUCAUCAGACUCAACUAUGAGUAUGAAAUCAAGUUAAGAAUCUCCUGCAAACAUACCAAUU
rnacentral:lncRNA from 1 species